rnacentral:rRNA from 1 species
UACGUAGGGCGCAAGCGUUAUCCGGAAUUAUUGGGCGUAAAGAGCUCGUAGGCGGUUUGUCGCGUCUGCUGUGAAAACGCGAGGCUCAACCUCGCGCCUGCAGUGGGUACGGGCAGACUGGAGUGCGGUAGGGGAGAUUGGAAUUCCUGGUGUAGCGGUGGAAUGCGCAGAUAUCAGGAGGAACACCGAUGGCGAAGGCAGAUCUCUGGGCCGUAACUGACGCUGAGGCGCGAAAGCGUGGGGAGCAAACAGG